UAUGGCCACAUCAUAUUGAAACACCAGUUCUCUUCUGAUCACCAAACUUAACCAAUAUCAGGCCUAGUCAGUACUUAGAUGGGUGACCACUUGUAAAUACCAGGUGUUGUAA